rnacentral:sRNA from 1 species
AUUGUGUUCAACGAGCCAUUAAAUAUGACAAAGUUAGUUGGUAUACAUGGUUGGUGAGUAUAUAAAUUUUGAGACGUGGAGAAGCUAAGUUCAUUUUCUUUCGUUGUGGUGGAAAAAGUUGUGUUCUAAGUUGUUUCAGUUGUGAAAUAUGAUGCCGAGCUGUAUUGCGAAGCUGUCAAUAUUCUAUCAUUCACAGUUGCCAUGGUGGUGAAAAUGAAGAUGAACCAUACUCGUGGUUGAAGAUGAAGGAGAGGGAACCGAUUCCCCUUUAGGUGGAAUCGAUUCCACUAUGCAACAAGACACAAAAAUGGAAUUGAUUACAACAAAGCUCGUAACAGAUUCCAACAAGGUGUAGCCGAU